UCCCCAAUUCGAUUCACUCUGCCAAAACACGAUACUUUUUCGAGUUCCCCUCCCCUUCAUCCCUCCACCCGACUCCCCAAAAUCCUACCUUUCCCUUUCUCCCGCUCCCUUAUGGAUCCCAAAGACUCAUCGAAGCAGCCACAGCAUGUUUCCAGGCUCCCCCAGGAACGCUCCCUCCCACUGUCUCAUGAAACUGAUGCAGCAGCAGCAGAAAGCAGCGAUCUUGUGCCUGCCGCAGCCUCAGAGAGGCACGGGGGAUUACAGGUGGUGGCAGCGGAGAAGGAUGAGCAGAGGAAGCAGCUUGCGCCCAAGAGGAGCUCCAACAAGGACAGGCAUACGAAAGUUGAAGGCAGGGGGAGGAGGAUCAGGAUGCCGGCCCUCUGCGCCGCCAGGAUCUUCCAGCUCACCAGAGAAUUAGGCUACAAGUCCGAUGGGGAGACCAUCCGGUGGCUCCUCCAGCAGGCGGAGCCCGCCAUCAUCGCCGCCACCGGCACGGGCACCAUCCCGGCGUCGGCCCUUGCCUCCGCAGCCGCGGCUGGCCCCACCGGUGCCACCGUCUCCGCAGGCCUCCAUCCCAAGUUCGAUGAGCUCGGACCCCGGCCUAACCGGGCCAUGCUGGGGCCUGCUAGCUUUGGCCGGCCCCUCCACGGUCUUUUGCUGCCGCCUGGUGUGCUGGACUCCGGAUUCCUGCAACCUGGUUCGGCCGCCGCUGCAAGUUCCAGUGCGGGCGGCGGCGACACAUCGGUGAGCAGCUUGAUGCAGAGGAUGGGGAUUUUGCACGGGCUGGACUUGCCCGACGGCAACACAGGUCCGAUGAGCUUCGCGUCGCUGCUGGCCGGACAUGGACAGCAACUGCCGGGACUGGAACUCGGGCUAUCACAGGAUGCCCAUUCUGGUGCGCUGAAUCCUCAGGCCUUGAACCAAUUCUAUUCGCAGAUUGGGCAUGUCAUGGGUGCAGCUGGUUCAGCUGGGAGUGGGCAAUUGCAACACCAGCAGCAACAACAAGUCUUUUCAGCGGAAGACGAUUCACAGGAGUCAGAGUAAUGGUUGGAAGAGUUUUGUAGGAAAAAUUGCAUGCUAAUUGUUGGCUUAUUUCGUUGGAUCAUGAAGAUGGCCGGGAUUGGUAAGUCUCUGUGGCACAUGGUGAUGGUGGUUUCUUCUGCCUGCUCCUCUCUUCUCUGCAACCUCCAUUUGUGGUUUCCCAAUUCUGGUGUCACUCUCUCUUUUAGUUCAUAUGAGUGAUUUAUGUUAUCAGCUUGGGAUAGUAACAAUAUAAUAUUGGAUGUAUAGUUUUGCAGUCCAAGGUUGACAGAGCCGGAUAUACUGUACCGGGAUUUCAUGUAUCAUGAUGUCAAGGUGUGCAGACAUCAAAGCCAGCAGAAGUAAAGUUGGAGUCUGGAUUAGAAACAGCACAGACAAUUAUUAUUGCAAGUUACGACAAGGCUUCUUUGCUGUUUGCUGAUUCUUAACCUUGCUGCUUCUGGUGGAAGCUAAGAAUACAUGAUGAGUGAAGACCCAGAUUAUAUAUAGGCAUCAGAACAAUCUGCUAAUCCAGCUUAUAUGAUUGUGGAUAGCUGGCAGAUCUCUUUCUAAAAUAAAUUUAAAGAAGAUUGACAGGCCGAUCAAUUUGCAGCUUCGGAGCCAUAGUCUGAGAGUUCAUUGGAAUCUGUCGUCGACCGACCGUGCCCAGUGGAUGAUAUCCAGUGUGUCCUCCACUGAAGUGGCACCAAGGCAACUCCACCACCUCCUGUUUCAUCUCCCUCAAGACCUCCAGAAAGACUUUGAUGCCACAUGGGAGCUCAAUAGGUCCAGUGUUGGGAGUACCCAAACUCCAUCUUCGCUGCUUAAAGCUGCAUCCUGAAGAGAGGGUGGUUCACGUGCUCUAUUCGGAUCACAAACUGCUCCCGCUCUCUCUCAUGGCCGAUGAACACAGUGAAGCACCCCUCCUUUCAUUGGCUCACUACGUAUUGGCACCACUCCAAGAUCUUCAGUAUCAGGCCCAUUGGCCUCUUCUCUUUGCCAUUUUGGAGCUUCCCCAUGCAAAGCUUCAUACAAAGAAUGCACUACUGUGAUAUGGGCAAUAUAUGAGCAGUUUGUGACUAACCAAAUGAGCUUAUGUGAUCAACCUGUCACAAACUUGAUGAAACAUGACACUGGCUCUUGGGACUCUCAGGUUACACGUAAUUUCUGUAGUGGAUCAAUCAAGUGGCAUAGUGAUGAAGCAGAUGAUGCAUAGGUUGUGAUGAGGAUUUGUCUCAAUAGAUGGAAACCAAGCUGAUAGAAGAUGGUGAACAAGAGAUGUCAGUGGCACUAUAUAUAGAAGGGGAGGAGGCAAGUGCAGGAAGUGUUGGCUGUGCUGUUCAUCACAAUUGCGUCCAUUUCGGGAGACUUCAGUCACCACAUGCAUAGCUACUGCGCCAACUGAGCUCAUGGCCAUCUCCGGGGAGCCAAUACCACUGGGGAGAAUCCCAAUCUUUCCGUCCAAAGAGCGCUUGGAGUACUUCACUACCGUUUACCAUGUGUUUGAGAAAAUGACACUGUCGCACAUCAUCUAGAGAUCAUAUUGCUGCACACUUUGGAACAGCCCUUUAUACCUAAAGCAACAAGCAUGAUGUAGAAGUCAACUCUACCUUUCAUGUUCUAAUCGACGAAACAGUUGAUGCUCAAUGAUUGUUUGGUGAGCAGUAGCCCGAGGCGAAACGCUCCGUGGUGUACGAUGAAAUGCCUCAAUGGCAACCGUUGGAAUUGGAAGCGUUGUGUCGCUGCAUGGCCAAAGCACAAGGUUGGACUGCGCUCUCUCGGCAUUAUGUUGCUGAUCCAAUAUGUUAAAGCAAUGCUAUCAGUGAAACCUUUAGUAGGAAAAUGGAUUUCUAUCCGAUUCCAUUUUAAACCCGAUUCAAUAUACUCGGAACUUAUUAAAGUA